CCCACCCGUGGCACCUGUGCAUCCUGUGGUGCCCCAGCCACCUGCCUCGGGCGUUGCGGUGGACGACAGGCUGGACGACAGCGAGUACCACUUCUCGUGGCGCCAUGACGGCAGCAAGACCUACACGUGGGAUGGCGCCAACCAGUACUGCCGCAGCCUCGGCUCCGGCUGGCAGGGAAUCAGCAUCGAGACUCGAGAGGAGGACAGUCUCGUCAGCAAAGCCAUUUCAGGAGAUCUGCUACCGUGGAUUUGGACCUCGGGUCACCUCAGCAGACACGGCUUGGACUGGGCUUGGGCUUCAGGUGCACAAUUCGUGGUCUGAA